GGAGUGUACAGCUCAGUGGUAGAGUGUGUGCUUAGCAUGCAUGAGGUCCUGGGUUCAAUCCCCAGUGCCUCCG
rnacentral:tRNA from 1 species